rnacentral:lncRNA from 1 species
CUGAGCCCCACUUAGAGAGGCAUUUGUGGGGAGUGCUGAGUACCUGUGCUGUAGCAUCUCCUGCAACAAAGGCAGCAAAUGCUCCUGGGAAAGGUGUACUCGGAAGACUGGCUCUUGGGGCACCUGGUCGUCCCCUCUCACAGAGCAGACCUCAGAGAAGGCCAUCAGACGUCACCACCGCCUUCUGGAAACUUGCAAUGGAAAACAGACACACCAGAGGUAGCAUCCGAAAAGACCACAGGAGAUGCCGCGUCCAAUCUCGGUUCCAACAGGGACAGAGGUGAGCAGACCAGCACUUUCUUAAAUGACUCUGGCUGCUGUGCGGAGAAUGGAUGGAAGGCGGAGCCAGUGCAGAGGCCACCACAGAGUGGAGCCUGGGACAUGGGGAGCUGGGCAUGCCCUGGAGACACCCAGGUCUAGAACAUCACCGCUAACGUCGUGCAGUUCCAGGGAGAGAGCAGCAUUGGCGGGAAGGGAUGAAGGCAGUGUGGGGCAGACUCCGGGGCGGAGGAGGGGGCGGGGCACGGAGGCGGCCUGGGAGCCCCUCCCUCUGUCUGUUUGCACAGCUGUCCAGGCCGAGCUGGCAGGGUGAGUCACAGGCUGGCACUCCACCUCCUCCACCUCUAGGGGAGGGCAACUUGGUGACCCUGGCCUUGGGGACCCUCCUCCUCUCUCCCUCCUCCCCUGCCUCUCUGAGCCCCACGAACUGUGCCCCUGUGCCCUCUCCUCCCAGCCACCUCCCAAGGCCUAGAUCUGGUUUCCCAGAUCCCCUCCACUCUGUCACUUUCCCCCCUGGAUGCACGGCCCUCCUCUGUCCCUCAUGUCCCAUCCCAGCUGCAUUAGAGUCACUCGUUUCCAGUCCCUGCAAGACGGCGAGCAGUUGAGGACACACUGUGGGCAGCUCUGGACACAUCUUUCCACUCUCUCGUCCCGCACACACUCAGUGCUUAAUGAACGUUCGGUGCAUUGAAUUAAACCUGCUUGAUUCACAUUUCUUGAGCUGGGAGGAAGAUCCAUCUCUUUCUCUGAUCUGACGGUGCUCAGGCUGGGGCAGGGUGGGGGACUUCUUCCCUGGGAGACCUGCCCCAGCUCUGGACGAUUGAGGAAGAUUUUUAUCACCAGGUUCCUAGUCUGCAAAAUGCCCCACCCAGCCUGUCUCCCAGCCCCCAGCCCCCUCCCCAGGUGCACAGAGAUCUCCCCUCUGGGACUCCCACUGCGCUAGCCUGGGGCCAAAGGCACAGUGUCUCCUGCCUGGGAAAGAGAGGGCCACCCUCCCUCAGUGUCAGUGACGGUUUACCCACUCGGCUUCCUGUUAGGUUUCUCCUUCCUUCCUUCCCCACCAGGCAUCUCUAAUCUUAAGCUUCUUAGGGG